CCUGGGAGAAUUAAUUACUUUUAGAAGAAACACACACUCAUUCCACCUUCCGAGGACAGCAUCUUGCUCUAGUGACUCAGUCUGGGAAAGACAAAAACUGUGAUCUGAUGGAGUGAUUGUUGGUGCUCUUGGCAGUGUGUGUGUGUGUGUGCACGUGGAGGUUGUGUGUGUACAUGUGUGUGUAUGCAUGUGUGUACCAGCACACACACAGGAAAGUGCAUGGGUAGGCUUAGUAAUCCAGAACCUGUUAAGCAUCACCCAGGGCUUGUGAUGGGGCCUGUUGAUUUAUCGUCUUAUCAUGAUGUUUUUACCUGAAACCAUUUUCAGCUCGAUUUCUGUUUGACAGGGUACCGAGUGAGACCCAGCUGACCUGGCAAAUGACAGGGACACUUUUUAUCCUUCCAACUUAACCUUUCCGUCCUGACUUAACCUUUCCCUCUUUGACACAAAUGAAGAAAUUAGGGCUCUUGACUGCUACUGAUUUAAGGGGAUUACAGAGGCACUGCCAGCGAGCAUGAGCACAAGAGUUUAGCGCCUCUCCGCAGCUGAGAGAGGAUGCUGCAUACUUGAGGCCUGGGACCUCGGAGAAGACCUUCUUCAGCUGAAACCACACCUUAUUCUUGUCCCAGUUGAAGGCUUCCCAACGGUCUUCAUGUGGCACUUGCUGUGUGCCAGGCCCCACUCUGGGCACUUGGUUUAUUUAAUUCUAACCAUGGUCCUAGGCGAUGGGCGCUGGUAUGACUGUGGGAAAGGGACAAGGUGGGAGAUGUGAACGAACUUCCGGAGCCCUCCCGCGGGCAGCCUAGCUCCCCGCCUCCUCCAACACCUUCUGUUGCUUUUCCAGCACAGCCAGUACUGGGCUCUUGGGUUCGAGCACGGGGCGGGGUGAAGGGUGCUGGGAGGUCACAUUCUUGCUUCCCAGCACUGAAGACUGGAAGAAUGAAUGGCACAGAUGAACAAGGCUGUCCCGUAUCCGCUGCUCACUAGAGGCUUCACAGCUGCGUAGGGACACAGGACAUCUGUACAAUAAACACCAAUGGUAUUAGUGCCCUAGGGCUGCAGGAACAAAGCACCACAGACUGGGGGUGCUGGAACAGCAGAAACUCAGGCUCUCCCAUUUCUGGAUGCCGGAAGUCCAAAAUCUAGUGUCGGCAGGGCUGUGUCCUCUCUGAGGUUUCCAGGGGAGGAGGCUUCCUUGUUUCUCUGGCUUCUGGUGGUGGCUGGCAAUGCUCGGCAUUCCUUGGCUUGUGGACACAGCACUGAAAUUGCAGCCCUUAUCUUCACGUGGCCUUCGUUGUGGCGCUCUGUGUCCAAAUGUCCCUCUCCUCUAAGGACACCAGUCAUCGGAUUAGGCCAGCUCUAAUCCGGUGUGCCUCAUCUUGAUUUAACUAACUACAUCUGCAAAGACACUAUUUCCAGAUUACGUCACGUUCCGAGGUUCCUGGUGGACGUGAAUUUUUGGAAGACGCUGUCCCACCGGGGACACCAGCCAGCCCCUCAGUCCCUCCCUCCGUCCCUCCACCCUUCAGAGGUGGUAAAUGGUGGCUUGCUAACAGCGCCUGUAGCAGCCACCUCCUGGUGAUGGCAAAGGAAGGGCCCUCUCAGUCGUAGGGGCCAAUGGCGAGGAGGACCUGGGACGUGGUGUACUGAGCAUUGUCCCUUCUCAGCAGCUCACUCCUUUGUGUGUCUGUGAUGCGAAGGUUGUGACAUCAGUCAGCCUCAUGGAGAACUGGAACAACGGGCUCUGUGUCUUUGGAGAACGCGUCAAGACCAGGGCCCCUUCCCCUGCUCCCAUGGUUCCCAGCGUUCUUGUCUCCUGAGAGAGGAUGUAGUGGGUGUCAUGUUCAGCAUUGCAACUGGCCUCCGUGGAAACCAGGGUGGAGAUCAGACGGGUGUGGGGGGAGCAUGUGACUGAGCUCCUUCCCACUCUCUCCCAGGCACACACGGAGUCAGUGUAGGGAGGUGAUGGGUAAGGGCUUGAGUUUUGGGGUUGCACAGCUUGUGGGGACCCCACCUCAUUUCCUAGCUAGGCAGACCUGGCCCAGUGUCUGACCUUUCCCAUCUGUAAAUUAGGGGUGCAAAUAGCAUCCACCUCCCGGGUGUGGUGAAGGUGGAGCCAGUACCCAGCCAGCCCAGCUCUUUUUUGUUAGGAUUGCCCCACUGCGGCCACACCCUUCCGUCUGCCCGCUCCUGUUCCCGCAGGUAGACUCAGCCUGUGGGAUUCUGGCCUGGCUUCCCGGCCGCGAGCAGGCGCUUCAGAUGCUCAUUCCCGCCGCGGUCGGCUGUGGCGGCGUCUCAUACCCGUUUCUGCUCGAAUGAUGCCAGCUGUCCUGCUGCGCCACUUUCGUCUGUCCUCGCAUCCGCUGAUGGGAUUUCCGGUCGCUUCCACUUUGUGGCUCUUUUGAAGAAUGCCGCUAGGAACAUUCACACGCAGGUUCUUGGCCAUAAAAUAUGGCUUUUGGAAAAAUAAAGCUGAGACUUGGAGUUCACGGUAGGGGCUCCCCCAUCUGUGAACAGAAGCAGAAGUUUGGAACUGCCUUCUUUACUGCUCGAGAGGGAAAACUUGAGUGAAAACCAGGAUGCUGGCGAAUGUUGAGUAGCUAAGCUGCACAGGAAAUACCACUUGAUGACCUGCGAUCCGGGGAAGCCGCGCCAGGGCUCUGCGAAGCUGCGGGCGAGGGAGGCGCCGGUGCGGGGGCUGCAGCUCAGCUCCGGGGGGGCGCACCUUUCUCCACGGGACCUGGGGCUCGGGUGCUCACGAGGCUGGGGCGCUGCAGGCCACCCGCAGGGGAAACUGAGGCCCUCCAUUUUGUGGGGCUGGAAGACCUGUCCUUCCAAAAGCAGGUGUAGGCGGGAGCACCUGUGCAGUCCCUCUGUUCAGAUCCUCACCCACUUUUAAAUCAGGAAACAGCAGAUGAAAUGCACAGUGUGAAGGACAAGGAUUCUGCUGAGAGAAUUGCUCCGAGGGUUGCUCAAGUGAUCAUGGGAAAUAAUGCAUCAAACCAUUCUUUAGGUAUUUUUUUAAAUUAGGAGGUAAAAAAUGUGUGCUGUUUGCCAAAAUGAUUCUUACACGGACAAGCUGGGAAAAUUGCUCUGAAACAUGACACAGACUCCUGAUUUGGCCCAACUAGGGUGUGAAGGAUGAAAUCCAUCCUGAGCCCUUCAUCCCUCUGCUUUCUCUGGUGCAGAUGCAGCUCAGGUGCGCCUUCUCCUCGCCUGUGCCCAUCCACCUGAGAUGGACCAUAACCAUAAAAGUCAGAAGGCACUGACCCUUCAGAACAUGAUAGGGUUAAAAGAUGCUGGAGGGAAAGUCUGUCAUUGACUUUUAGUCACUUCCUUUCUCCACUCUGCCAUUUGGAAAAAGGCUGGAGCGCAAUGGCGCGAUCUCGGCUCACUGCAACUUCCGCCUCCCAGGUUCAAGUGAAUCUCCUGCCUCAGCCUUCCGUGUAGCUGGGACUACAGGCAUGUGCCACCAUGCCCAGCUAAUUUUUGUAUUUUUAGUAGACAUGGGGUUUCACCAUGUUGGCCAGGAUGGUCUUGAUCUCUUGACCUCAUGAUCUGCCCGCCUCAGCCUCCCAGAGUGCUGAGAUUACAGGCGUGAGCCACCUUGCCUGGCCUUGAAUGGGAUUAGUGUUUUAAAGAGGCCUGAGAGAGACUCCUGGCCACUUUUGCCAUAUGAGGACACAGUGGAAAGGUCCCAUCCCUGAACCAGGAAAUGGGCACUUACCAGACACUGAAUCUGCCUGCAGCUUGACCUUGAACUUCCCAGCCUCCAGAACUCUGAGGAAUAAAUUUCUGUUAUGUGAUAAGCCAUUCAGUCUGUGGUAUUUUGUUAUACCAGCCCAAACGGACUAAGACACAGAACAUAGCCUGUGCCUCUUCCAGUUUCUUCAGGAUCCUUCUGGGCUCAGAGAACGGAGCUAAGAGGAAGAUUCUACCAUUAGGGCUGGUCUUCACCUGUCUCUUAAGACUGAUGGGCUCCCCAUUUGAAUGACAUUGAUCAACCUGACAUUAACCCAUUGGGUAUGGCUGGGGCAGCUCCUCUUAUCUAUGAGGUGGGAACCAGGUUGGUAACGUUGCAUCCUGUUAGCCAGGUUCCUAGUUCAGUUUAGCUGGUGUGCAGGUCAAGGACUCUUCAGGAUUGAAUUGCAUCCCUUCAAAAGAUAUUGAAGUCCUAACCCCCAGAAUCGGUGAUGGUGACCUUAUUUGGAAAUGGGUCUUUGCAGACACAAUCAAGUUAAGAUGAGGUCAUGUUGGAUUAAAGUGGUGUGUAAUUCAAUAGCUGAUCUCUCUAAUGAAAAGGGAAAUUUGUACUGAGAAACACAGAGGGAAAUGCUAUGUGAAGAUGGAGGCAGAGAUUGGAGUGAUUUGGAGCAAUGUGUAUGUCUGCAAGGCAAGGAACACCAAGUAUUGCCAGCCAUCACCAGAGCUGGAGGAGGGGCCUGGAACAGAUUCCCACUAGAGCCCCCAAAAGGAUCCAACCCUGCUGACACUUUGACUUUGGAGUUGUGGCCUUCAGAACUGUGAGAGAAUUAAUUUCUGUUGUUUUGAGCCACUCAGAGUGUGGUAUUUUGUUAUAGAAGUCCUUGGAUACUAAUAAAGACAUUAAUAGCCAGAUCGGAGGCACCCCCUCCAAGGCCUGAGAGAAGGUUGUUUUAUGGAACUCUGGUUUAGUAGCUGGGACCACAGAUGCAUGCCACCAUGCCUGGCUAUUUUUUAAAAUUUUUUGUACAGAUGGCAUCUUGCUGUGUUGCCCAGGAUUCUGGCUAGGGACUGUGGUUGCAGGUGCUGGGGCUAAUGAAAAUGGGCAAGAGCAGAAUAGCACAGUCACAUCUAUUCUCUAAAUCGACAAUCUUUUCCAGACUACGGUUUAAGAAUCUGUGCCUGAUGAAGCUGAAGGGGGCCUCAGAACUGGUCUCAUGGUCCUCCUCUCAGCUCUGAGGUACUUGUGGCUUGUGGCAGAGCCGCUAUGGACGUCGCUGACCUAGUGGUCAGUGCAUACAUCUGCAGAAAGGUCACUCUACAUUCAAGUGAAUCAAUAGAGUGUCUAGAAAUCUCAAUUCAUGGUGUGUGGGGGCAAGAUGCCCAUUCUGACCCUUUAAGGGGGCAUCAACAUUUCAGAGGGUGGUAGGAGUGGUGAUGAAUCCUCCUUAGGGUGAAAGCUCACCCCUUCGGGCUACUAGAGGGCAGUCAUUGGUAUAAUUUCUCUAUUUUAAGCAUUCUGAUGUUUGAUUACAACUUACCCAUGGAAGGCUGGGUUUGUAGUUACUGAACCUUUCCAAGGCUGGGUAGCGUGCCUUCUCUCCCGAAUGCUAUGGAGUUCUACAGUGUGCCAGCAUCUGUUUCUGUAGCUCCUUCUUUCAUCACUGAUGGACGUUUAGAUUGUUUCCAGUUUCUACUACCACAAACAGUGCUUCAGUGACCAUCCUUAGCUGUGGCUUCUUGUGUAUGUGUGAGGAUUUCUUCAGAAUCAGGUCUCCACCUUGGACACUGUCCAUAUAUUGGGCCAGAUAAUUAUUUAGCGUUGGGGGUGCUGUCCUGUGCACUGUAGAACGCUUAGCAGCACUUAGCAGCAUCCCUGGCCUCCACCACUAGGUGUCAGUAGUGUGCACUACUUAUCACGACCAAAAAUGUCCCCACAUGGUGUCAAAUAUCCACUGGGGGAAAAAUUGGCCUUCCCGCCUGUUCAGAACCAUUGGGAUAGAUGAAAAAUGUGAGGCGGUGUUUUUUUUGUUGUUGUUUUUUGUUUUGUUUUGUUUUGUUUUAAGACAGGGUCUCGUUCUGUCAUCUAGACUGGAUCACAGUGGCAUGAUCACAGCUCACUGCAGCCUCAACCUCCUGGGCUCAAGUGAUCUGCCCACUUCAGCCUCCCCAGUAGCUGGGACCACAGGCAUACGCCACCAUGCCCGGCUAUUCUUUUUUUAUUUUUUAUAGAGUGGCCAUCUUGCUAUGUUGCCCAGGCUGGUCU